rnacentral:rRNA from 1 species
CCUCUGGGUCAACCUCCCACCCGUGUUUAUUAUACCUUGUUGCUUCGGUGCGCCCGCCUCACGGCCGCCGGGGGGCUUCUGCCCCCGGGUCCGCGCGCACCGGAGACACUAUUGAACUCUGUCUGAAGAUUGCAGUCUGAGCAUAAACUAAAUAAGUUAAAACUUUCAACAACGGAUCUCUUGGUUCCGGCAUCGAUGAAGAACGCAGCGAAAUGCGAUAACUAAUGUGAAUUGCAGAAUUCAGUGAAUCAUCGAGUCUUUGAACGCACAUUGCGCCCCCUGGUAUUCCGGGGGGCAUGCCUGUCCGAGCGUCAUUGCUGCCCUCAAGCACGGCUUGUGUGUUGGGCUCCGUCCCCCCGGGGACGGGUCCGAAAGGCAGCGGCGGCACCGAGUCCGGUCCUCGAGCGUAUGGGGCUUUGUCACCCGCUCUGUAGGCCCGGCCGGCGCCAGCCGACAACCAAUCAUCCUUUUUUCAGGUUGACCUCGGAUCAGGUAGGGAUACCCGCUGAACUUAAGCAUAUCAAUAAGCGGAGGA